rnacentral:rRNA from 1 species
UACGUAGGGUGCAAGCGUUGUCCGGAAUUAUUGGGCGUAAAGAGCUUGUAGGCGGUUUGUCGCGUCUGCUGUGAAAUUUCGGGGCUCAACCCCGAACUUGCAGUGGGUACGGGCAGACUAGAGUGUGGUAGGGGAGACUGGAAUUCCUGGUGUAGCGGUGAAAUGCGCAGAUAUCAGGAGGAACAUCGAUGGCGAAGGCAGGUCUCUGGGCCACUACUGACGCUGAGAAGCGAAAGCGUGGGGAGCGAACAGG